GCUUUCUAGGGAAUAAAAAGGGUUAUGGCCACCAUUUAGGGGACAGAGAAAGCACAGGCUUCACGAGUGUGAUUAAAUCCCGCCGAAAAGUGUCCAGAAAUCAGCUAAGAUAGGACUCAAAAUGGGCAAUUCCCCCCUUUUACUGUGUUUUGUAUUAAGUACAGGCUUUAAUAAUUUCUUCAAAUUUUUUUUGUAUUUACAGGAAAAUUUAUAGAUUAUUUAUAAAAGAAACAUAACCAGGAUUACAACUCUUAGAAUUAUUUUCUUGUGCACAUUAAGAGGCCCAUAAGUUCACCAGCCCUUUGCAGCCUUUAUUUCAUCACAGUCUAUGGGCUUGAGAAAGACCUCUUUUGUAGUUCCAUAUGCUUAUUCACUUUCUCACCUCAUCGUAUGUCAUACUGAUCCCACCGUAGGUCCUGUCACUUCAACGGUGCAUAAACAAAAUAUGCAACUAUCUUAAAAAUAAAAAGUAGUUUUGAGCCUAGUAGGGAAGUAAACGAGCAUUCUUACUCUGGUUUAUUUUGAAGUGUUCUAACUGUGAUGCCAGAAACUUUGAUUAGAUCAGCUAGGAUGGAGAGCAAAACGGAGAAUGGAAAGAAUUGACUUUGGAGCUUGGAAUCUGCCGUGGUGAAGUCUUCUCUUGCCCUCUGAUGGCUGCUGAGAUAAUGUUGGAUAGCAGGGUUCUGAAACCUUUGGCUGUAUUUUGCCCUGCUUUUCCCAGGAUUAAGGAUUCUGGGAGAACAUUAAGAAUGAGAUUGCAAUUGAAAAGGUCCUCACUUCACAGCAAGAAACACUGCGAUACAAGGGAGAAAGAGACGGCAGUGCCCAUUAAAUCAAUACAACAAAAUCGAUGCAGCACCGACCGACGCCGCCAGGUCCGACGUCGUGGGUGUACGAACCGUGCAGUUGCCCAGGGCCGUGGGCCCAGAAGUGCCCAGUGCUUGGUUUAGUGCUCUGCUGUCACCGUCUUGAAAUUCCUAAUAAUUUUUGAACAAGGGGCCUGCAUUUUCAUUUUGCACUGGGCCUUGCAAAUUAUGUAGCCAGUCCUCAGAACUCCGAAACAUGGUACCUCUCUUCCUGGUGGAUAUAAAUGAAGAAACUUGGAUCCAAUGUUGACAGUGGCUGGCCAUAUAAUUCAAGUAGGAAUCUAAAUGGAUUAAGAUGAGAGUGGGCCUAGGUGAAGAUUUUCUUCCCAGCUUUAAAAGAAAAUGACUUCAAAAACUGCAAAUGAUGAUGGUUUCUGCUGGAAAAGAGGAAAAGGCCCGAUGACAAGCAGGCUUUUUUAUUAUGGUACUGAUAUAUUGACCUUAAACUUCCUGAAGAAUUGAACCAGCGCCCUCCAUUGAAUGUGGAAUCUGCUUCAGCUCCAGGCACAUAUGCUAUGCCUGCAGAGAGACACGCAUAUUGCUCGCGUCUAUGUGCUUUGGUGUUGGGAAGUUGACGAUCUGGUCUACCCUUAUAAAAUGUUUAAAAGGAUACAAAGACGAUGGGGGCGGGAGGAUGUGUUUUAAAUGGUGCUUCUCAACAAGGGGGCAAUUUGGCAAUGUCUGGAGUCAUUUUUGGUUGUCCCAACUUGGGGGAGGGCGCCACUGGCAUCUGGUGGGUAGAGACCAGGGAUGCUGCUAAACAUCCUACAAUGCAUGGCACAGCCGCCCCCGCUCCCCAGGACAAAGAAUGAUGCAGCCCAAAAUAUCAAUAGUACUGUAGUUGAGAAACUCUUGGUUUGGGGGGAACUUUUUAAAGCAAAACUCUCACAAAUAUCUUUUACUUUUCCUGUAAUUGACUCAAUGCCUAAUAUACCCAAAAACUAAAAAUAAAAAAAGGAAAGGGACACCGAUUCA
rnacentral:lncRNA from 1 species